rnacentral:tRNA from 1 species
GCCCCGAUAGCCCAAUCGGCAGAGGUGCCGUCCUCAAAAGGCGGAUGUGCGGGUUCGAAUCCCGCUCGGGGUACCA